AAAGUUCUUCAGUAUGCAUGCAGCAUCUAAACGGUGUGGUAACCUUACCGUCUCAAACCCCAAAAAUGUGUUUAACAGGACGAGAAGAGCCAGAGAAACUUGAGCCACAAGAACUUUUAGGGUAUCCGGAAUUGGAUGAAUUGCCAGAACAACCCAGAACAACCCAACAACCCAGAGCUGCCGAGGAAAUGAUCGACGAGGGGGACGCGCACAUGAUUCUCUUUUUGCGAGUAAAUCUAAUGACAGCGGGUUAUCUGCUCACAGAUUGUCAGUUGGCGUUCGAGACAGGAAUUCAGCUAUGGAAGCAAUUGACGACACAAAGUACGACGAUAAUGAAAUCAAGAAAUUGUACACGGAAAAUGAAACCCAAAAAUUAAAGGAACUUUUCGAAGAGAGGAACACAAAUGAUCAAAGGAGAAGUUCCACCGUUGCUGGUUGUCUAACAAGGGACACUCACGACCUGUCGUUUGAGUCCAGGGUCGUGAGUGUCCCUUGUAAGAACUAUUGAGAGGAAAAUGACGCUUGAAAGUUUGAAUGCUGAGUACACUCGGCUUAUUGAAGUGUUCGAGAAAAAAUAAUUAUCACAAAUUUUCAAUAACUUCCACCACAUUAAAAUGGCAAAAUUAGAUUAAAAUAAA